CAGCAACCGCGGUAAUACGUAGGUGGCAAGCGUUGUCCGGAAUUAUUGGGCGUAAAGGGCUCGCAGGCGGUUUCUUAAGUCUGAUGUGAAAGCCCCCGGCUCAACCGGGGAGGGUCAUUGGAAACUGGGAAACUUGAGUGCAGAAGAGGAGAGUGGAAUUCCACGUGUAGCGGUGAAAUGCGUAGAGAUGUGGAGGAACACCAGUGGCGAAGGCGACUCUCUGGUCUGUAACUGACGCUGAGGAGCGAAAGCGUGGGGAGCGAACAGGAUUAGAUACCCCGGUAGUCCCUGUCUCUUAUAC
rnacentral:rRNA from 1 species